AAGCUAUGAUUUGGUCCUUGUUGAUACUGCGAAUUAUCAUCUCCUUCUGUGAUUAUGACUGAACGAUAUUACGUGAUAUGAUAAUGAGUCUAUGUGCAUAUGUGAUUGGUUGUUUUGAUGAAUGAAGAAAAUAUGUUGUUAUGUGAAUAUCUACAUGAGAUAGGAUAUUCUAUGUGCUUAAGGAAAGAUGUUAUUUGUGUGAAUAUGAGUGAUACCUAUUUUAGGAAUGAUAUUUUAUGUGUGGAUAUAUGUAAUUAAUAUGAAUACGAUAUUGUGUUUGUGAGAUUGUGAAUAAAGCAAAAGUAAUUUAUGAGAAUGCAGUUAUGCAAUAGUUGAUACCUCAUGGAUGAUUUGAAAUAUAUGGGAAGGAAAGAUACUUUAUGUGUGGAUAUGUCCAAUCAAAGUGAUGAUAACAUUAUGCAAUUGAGAUUGAGAAAUUAUGGAUAUCUUUUGAAUGAAAUGAUGUAUAUGUAAGUCAAAAACAUAUGAUUAGUAGGAUCAAUGUAGUUAUAGUAGGAUGUGGAAAUUAGAUGAAUGUGAAGGGCAUGGUAAGUUAGAGGUAAAGAUAAUGAUUCAUAUCAGUAUAUUAUCUUCAAUAUUUGGAUUGGAGUCUUAAACUAUUCUUACUGAGCAAAUGGUGGCUCACCCCUUUUUUUAUAAAUUUCAUAACAGUGAGCGCAGGACCAAGCUGAAGAACCGU
rnacentral:lncRNA from 1 species